rnacentral:sRNA from 1 species
AACGACACUCCAACUUUCCGUUGGUGCGCGUUGUUUACCGUAAACCGACAC